rnacentral:rRNA from 1 species
CCUACGGGAGGCAGCAGUGGGGAAUAUUGCGCAAUGGGGGCAAGCCUGAUGCAGCGACGCCGCGUGGACGAAGAAGUCUUUCGGGAUGUAAAGCCCUUUCAACAGGGAAGAGAAGAUGACGGUACCUGUUUAAUAAGCCCCGGCUAACUACGUGCCAGCAGCCGCGGUAAUACGUAGGGGGCAAGCGUUGUCCGGAUUUACUGGGUGUAAAGGGCGGGCAGGCGGGCCGGCAAGUCUGAUGUGAAAGCCCGCGGCCCAACCGCGGAACUGCAUUGGAAACUGCCGGGCUGGAGUGCCGGAGAGGUCGGCGGAAUUCCUAGUGUAGCGGUGAAAUGCGUAGAUAUUAGGAGGAACACCAGUGGCGAAGGCGGAUGACUGGACGGCGACUGACGGUGAGGCGCGAAAGCGUGGGGAGCAAACAGGAUUAGAUACCCUAGUAGUC